rnacentral:rRNA from 1 species
GAUGAACGCUAGCUACAGGCUUAACACAUGCAAGUCGAGGGGAAACGACAUCGAAAGCUUGCUUUUGAUGGGCGCCGACCGGCGCACGGGUGAGUAACGCGUAUCCAACCUGCCCAUCACUUGGGAAUAACCUUGCGAAAGUAAGACUAAUACCCAAUGACAUCCCACGAAGACAUCUGAAUGGGAUUAAAGAUUUAUCGGUGAUGGAUGGGGAUGCGUCUGAUUAGCUUGUUGGCGGGGUAACGGCCCACCAAGGCAACGAUCAGUAGGGGUUCUGAGAGGAAGGUCCCCCACAUUGGAACUGAGACACGGUCCAAACUCCUACGGGAGGCAGCAGUGAGGAAUAUUGGUCAAUGGGCGAGAGCCUGAACCAGCCAAGUAGCGUGCAGGAUGACGGCCCUAUGGGUUGUAAACUGCUUUUAUAAGGGAAUAAAGUGGGUCUCGUGAGACUUUUUGCAUGUACCUUAUGAAUAAGGACCGGCUAAUUCCGUG